rnacentral:lncRNA from 1 species
GGAAAGAUUCGCCGAGAGCUGCUCACCAUCCAUCAGGCGCUGGCCCGGGCAGCUCGUCCACUGGACACACCCUUGGACCUCUCAGUGAAGCGGGUGCCUACCAAGGGAACUGAGGCACCAGCAGAGUCCUGGGGGCUGCAUGAUCCAGGCCCCAUGUUGACAAGGGGGACCUCAGAGCCCUCUAGCAUGUUGGGCCCUGUACUUGAGCCUUUCUCGAGUCGCACCACCAAGUGUGAGGCUGACUCCAGUGUCCCUCCUCCUGUCCUCCCCCUCCAGGCCCCCGAGGACCCUGUAAUUCCUGGUAGUGGCUGGGGUAAUCGACUUGGAGCUAGCAGCUCCCAGACCCCUAAAGAUGCCCCAAGCUUGCAGAUCCUCCCAAGUGCUGACGUCUGUUCACAGCCACCGUAGAUAUGGUUCCUCUCCCUGACCUGGGCCGCAUUGUCUGGACCUGUCCAGUGUCGGUGUGCAUGUAUUCUGAGCAGAUACCCCAUCCCCACCCCAGACUCCCCCACCAGCCCGUGGUAAAGACUUAUCUAUGCGGUCUCAUGGACUAGAAAGGUCAUGAUUUAUUUAUUGAAGUUGUGGACAUUAAAAUAGAAAACGCCUUCAAACACC